GAACGUACGCUGGCGGCACGCCUAACACAUGCAAGUCGAACGAAGUAGCAAUACUUAGUGGCAGACGGGUGAGUAACAUGUAGGUAUCUGCCCUUUGGCCUGGAAUAACACGAGGAAACUUGUGCUAAUACCGGAUAAGUCUUUACAGAGAAAGCUUUAUGCACCAUUGGAUGAGCCUGCACUUGAUUAGUUUGUUGGUGGGGUAAUGGCCUACCAAGACUGUGAUCAAUAGCUGAUUUGAGAGGAUGAUCAGCCACAUUGGGACUGAGACACGGCCCAAAUUCCUACGGGAGGCAGCAGUGGGGAAUCUUGCACAAUGGAGGAAACUCUGAUGCAGCGAUGCCGCGUGAGUGAAGAAGGCCUUUGGGUUGUAAAGCUCUUUCGUCGGGGAAGAAAAUGACUGUACCCGAAUAAGAAGGUCCGGCUAACUUCGUGCCAGCAGCCGCGGUAAUACGAAGGGACCUAGCGUAGUUCGGAAUUACUGGGCUUAAAGAGUUCGUAGGUGGUUGAAAAAGUUAGUGGUGAAAUCCCAGAGCUUAACUCUGGAACUGCCAUUAAAACUUUUUAGCUAGAGUAUGAUAGAGGAAAGCAGAAUUUCUAGUGUAGAGGUGAAAUUCGUAGAUAUUAGAAAGAAUACCAAUUGCGAAGGCAGCUUUCUGGAUCAUUACUGACACUGAGGAACGAAAGCAUGGGUAGCGAAGAGGAUUAGAUACCCUCGUAGUCCAUGCCGUAAACGAUGUGUGUUAGACGUUGGAAAUUUAUUUUCAGUGUCGCAGCGAAAGCGAUAAACACACCGCCUGGGGAGUACGACCGCAAGGUUAAAACUCAAAUGAAUUGACGGGGACCCGCACAAGUAGUGGAGCAUGUGGUUUAAUUCGAAGAUACGCGCAGAACCUUACCAACACUUGACAUGUUCGUCGCGACUCUAAGAGAUUAGAGUUUUCGGUUCGGCCGGACGAAACACAGGUGCUGCAUGGCUGUCGUCAGCUCGUGUCGUGAGAUGUUGGGUUAAGUCCCGCAACGAGCGCAACCCUCACUUUUAGUUGCCAUCAUUAAGUUGGGCACUCUGAAAGAACUGCCAGUGAUAAGCUGGAGGAAGGUGGGGAUGACGUCAAGUCCUCAUGGCCCUUACGUGUUGGGCUACACACGUGCUACAAUGGUAUCUACAACAGGAAGCAAGACUGCGAAGUUAAGCAAAUCCCUAAAAGAUACCUCAGUUCGGAUUGCACUCUGCAACUCGAGUGCAUGAAGCUGGAAUUACUAGUAAUCGUGGAUCAGCGUGCCACGGUGAAUGCGUUCCCGGGUCUUGUACUCACCGCCCGUCA
rnacentral:rRNA from 1 species